rnacentral:lncRNA from 1 species
GGCAACUGUGAGGGCGUCAAGCGCACCCUGAGCUUCUCCCUGAGUUUCAGGGAGAAACUGGAAGAACUUUGCCCUGGUUCCCCUUCUGAGGGAUGCAAGCACUCGAGAUAGACAUGCCACCCAGCAGGAAGAAGUUCAACUGAAGCAUUAUACGGGAUCCCUUAAGCCAGAGGAUGCUGAGGUUUUCAAGGAUUCCAUGGUCCCAGGGGAGAAAUAAUGGACACUAUGCAGGGGUCAAUGCGGGGUCUUUGGGUGGUCUGCUUAGGGAACCAGCAGGGUUGACGUUAUCUGGGUCCACUCUGUGCCUGCCUAGGCACAUUCCUAGGACUUCGGCGGGCCUGCUGUGGGAACUGGGAGGUGUGUGGGAAUUGAGAUGUGUAUCCAACCAUGAUCUCCAAACAUUUGGCUUUCAACUCUUUAUGGACUUUAUUAAACAGAGUGAAUGGCAAAUCUCUACUUGG